rfam:Acromyrmex echinatior unplaced genomic scaffold scaffold555, whole genome shotgun sequence.
UAAACGGCCCUUUUUAGGGCCACAAAUUUAUUUAUACGUUUGAUAU